rnacentral:tRNA from 1 species
GCGACCGUAGCUCACCUGGAGAGAGCGCCGGAAUACCGGGCCUCGCGGGUUCAAAUCCCGCCGGUCGUC